rnacentral:rRNA from 1 species
UACGAAGGGGGCUAGCGUUGCUCGGAAUCACUGGGCGUAAAGCGCACGUAGGCGGCUUUUUAAGUCAGGGGUGAAAUCCUGGAGCUCAACUCCAGAACUGCCUUUGAUACUGAGGAGCUCGAGUCCGGGAGAGGUGAGUGGAACUCCGAGUGUAGAGGUGAAAUUCGUAGAUAUUCGGAAGAACACCAGUGGCGAAGGCGGCUCACUGGCCCGGUACUGACGCUGAGGUGCGAAAGCGUGGGGAG